rnacentral:lncRNA from 1 species
UUUUAAAAGUAUAAGCAAAUGUAAUUGUUAUUUAUUUGAUUCUCCAUGAUAACAUUUUUUUUUGUUUCCCACAGGUAUCCUCGUGCUGGAGGUAAUCAUGUCCGAGCUGGGAGCAUUCACAUGUAUAUGAAGCUAACUCUCCUAGCGGAUAUAUUUUUCAUCCACAAGACUCGAACCCGAUAUUUUACUUAUGGGGAAUCAAACAUGUAUCACUUGAACUAACACCCAUCGGUUCCGUGAUAAUAUUUUGAUAAAAAGUAAGUCACUUUUAUAAAUAAAAAUAUAUAAUUUUAAAUAAAAUCAACCAAUAUGGCUAACACAUUUUAAAUGAAAAUCAUUCAAUAUCACAAAUGCAAUUUAAAUAAAAAGUGGAUAGUAUAAUUGAUUUUUGACCAAUUUUAGCUUAUUCUGAUUAAUAUAUUACAAGAUCACUAUAAUUCUUAUAUCAUACUGGUAUAAGGAUUGGUUUACUUGUUUAAGUGGCAUCUAUGCUUGAAACUACACAUUAAUAUUACAAAAUCAGUAUAAUUAUUAUAUCUUACUGGUAUAAGAAUUGGUUCGCAUCUAUGCUUGAAACUACACAUUGAUAUACAAGUAGCAAUACUGGUUACAUGAUACUGACAUGAUAAAUGUUAAAAAUCAGUAGAUAUAUUGUUGUGCAAAUAACAAAAAUACCCCAUAUUGUUUUCAAAUAUUAAUUUCGGUAGUUACAUAGGUGCAAAUCUUUGAAACGUAACUGUUGGAAUUUAUUACAUUUUUGUUGUGUAGUGAAAUGCCAGCCAUGAGUAAUAAAGUCAUACGCUAGAUGCGGAUGCUGCUGCUGAAUGAAUCAAGAGAAGAAAGUAGUGAGAAAAUUAGAGUAAGAAAUAUAUGUGCUGGAACAGUUAACGAGAAAUAGUGAGAUCGAAGAAGCUAAAUAGGGAUUCUUUCUCUGUAACACUUUCUUCCUAGAGACUAGAUAUGUUUUCCAUUAUCAUGAUCACCCAUAUGUCUGUAUGCAGAAGCUGAUGCAAACUUAACCUGGAAAAUAGAGAAAGAGAACAUUUCUAUUAACUCUUCUAUAUAUACAUGUACGUGUGUGUGUCUGAGAUGUGUUUUUUAGUGUAAUGUAUUUAUGGAGCUUUUAAAGUUGUUGAAAAUUCAGACACCAUCUUUGGAAAUAGCUCGGAU